rnacentral:rRNA from 1 species
UACGAAGGGGGCUAGCGUUGUUCGGAAUUACUGGGCGUAAAGGGCGCGUAGGCGGUGUGUCAAGUCAGGCGUGAAAGCCCCGGGCUCAACCUGGGAACCGCGCUUGAGACUGGCACGCUAGAGUUCGGGAGAGGAUGGUGGAAUUCCCAGUGUAGAGGUGAAAUUCGUAGAUAUUGGGAAGAACACCGGUGGCGAAGGCGGCCAUCUGGACGGCUAUUGACGCUGAGACGCGAAAGCGUGGGGAGCAAACAGG